rnacentral:lncRNA from 1 species
CUUUUCUCAUUAUCCUGAAAAUUAACAUCUUCUUUCUUAAAUAUUAAUGCUCGAACUUCAUCAGGGUCUCCAUUAAAUAUAGCUUGAACCAAUGGUGGCUGCUCUCGGAGUUUGAGGAACACCAUGGCGAGGCCGCCGCUCCCGCAACCGCCGCCGCCUCCGGCCGCCAACGGCUCGGCCCCGCGCCCCGCCCCGCGUUCCGGCCACGCCCCCUCCUCGCCCGCCGCCACCGCCGCUGUGGCCGCCGGCACCACCCCGCGCCCGGGGCCUCGCGCAGACCUCGCGGGCGACGGCGCGCGGCGGGCCCGCCACUGGGCGGGGAGGGAGGAGGCUCCGCCCCCGGCCCCGCCCCGCCGCUCCCCUCGCGGGAGUUCCCUGCGCGAAACGCCCGCUCGCCCGCGCCACUAAGGGCGCUUCUGAUUGGCUCGUAAGAGGCGGGGCGGAGUAAGGGCGGCGCUGAUUGGCGGGAAAGGCGAGGCGGGCUGGAGGGGAAAGAUAAGGAGAGGCGCCGCGGUUCGCUCUGUUCGCGGUCGUUGCGGUGUCCUGAGAGGCGGCUCUCUGUGAACGACGUUAUGGUGGGUGGCGCAGUUCGUGUCCUCUAUCAGCCCGCUAUGAGCCCGGUGCUGCCUGGGGAAGAAAGCGCUGCCUUCUUGUGGGAGCGCUGAGAGACGCGGCCCCUGCCCUGCAUUGGGUUAUUUUCAGUCGCCUUCCCAAACAAAAAACCAGACCAAAGAGAUGGGAACUGCAUGCUGCUGAAGAAAACUGAUGGAAACGCUUGAGGUUCCUUGGCUUUUCUGUUGCUUCAGAAUAGACCGUGUCUUCCAGUCAGUAGUGAGAUCUGCACGGACACUUCAGUAUAACGUUACUAAGAAAGAGAGUGUAAUAAAGGAACUACAUGCAUCCUGUGUGAAUGCUGUUGUGUCCGUUUUUGCCUUCACUCAUCUGUUUCCAGCUGAUCUCAGUCCUAUUAGUCUGCAUAAGACAGCCCAGAUUGAACAAAAGCACACUGUAUGAUGCUAUCACUAGCAGUAUUAUCCGCUUUACUGGUGUGCCUCCAAAUACAGUACGUGAGUUAAGAGCAAUAGAAAUGAUACAAAUACAACCUGAGAAGUUAAAUGUAACACCGUCCUAAAGAAAUGAGCACUUCUCAUUCGUUUAUUUCAGGGUAACUUCACCUCUGUUGUUUUUAAAGGAUCUGGUUUCACAAGUCACAGAGUAGGUAACUGUGCACAGGUGUCCCUCAGGAACACAAGCAGAGCGUUUUGCAGAAGUCUAUUAAUACUGAUAUGCAAACGCACUGAAAGCCGUGACGUUUCUGGCAACGUUCUGAGCAUAAAUCCGCAGGAGUUAGAACUUUCUGCAUCACCUUUUAGAUUGGUUUGUAAAUUAUUAGCAGCGCGGCGCUCCUGAGGGCACAGUUUCUGCAGAGCGCGAUAGGCUUCGACUGCACAGCUCCCAUUAGUGUUAAUGCUAAAUCUUCGUGCUGUAACUUAUCCCGCAGUGUGUAACACUACCCGGUGUUUUAAAGAUAGGAGCAUAUGUGCUGCACUGAAAUGCAUAAUGGGAUUGCACUGAAGAGACCGCAUACUGGAGGCGUUUUGUGAACUCAUCUGAAACACACUCAUGAUUUAUUUAGUUUGUCAACAAUGCCUGUAUGCGUAGCUCUUGUUAACCAAGGGUUUCAGCCCCGGCAAAGUUGAUAUUUAUUACUUUUUUUUGUUGUUCUGCAUGGGUAAACAGGCACAGAGGUCAACAGGCUGAGACAAGGUCAUGGAUUGAGUCACCGCCGUGGCUAGGAAUAGAAGCCAGAAGACCUGAUUGCCACUGCCCUCCUCCAAUGGCUAUCCUGUGCUCCUAAAUCAUAGCAGGGCUAAAUUUAUUUUUACACACAGUACAGUGUGUCUAAAAAUCAAUAUAAUUUUGUAAUUUCCUAUGGAGGGAUGCAUUUAUCUUUAUGACCCUGAAUCAGCAUCACAAGGAGGGGCAAGCCUUCCAAUGGAAGCCAUACUCACUUUAUAAUGGAAUACUGGGAUCAUCAUCAUAGGGGUUUUUUUACACAUGAUCUGACACAUUUUAUCCAUCAAAAUCUAAAACAGUCAAGGUUUUGUAAUUCCCAGAGAUUACAUUUUGAAUCAUUGGCUGUUCAUAGUUACAGAUUGUAAUGGAAACAUAUUGAAUAUGAUAACGGCCUCAUCAAUCAAAUGUCAUCGAUUGGCAUUUCUAAAGCACCAUUAUGCUUACAGAUGCUCAUUCGAGCAAUUGCAUCUCAGUUUGGUACAGAGACAGAAGAGAGGGAACUCUUGUGCCCUUUUUACUCAAAGAGCUAGUUUUAUUUCUGAAGAAAAGCAGGG